GUAUCCGAUUGAUGGCUUAGUGAGGCUUCAGGAUUGGCUUAAGCAGGAGGCAACUCCAGCUUGGAGCCGAGAAUCUAGUCAAACUUGGUCAUUUAGAGGAAGUAAAAGUCGUAACAAGGUUUCCGUAGGUGAACCUGCGGAAGGAUCAUUAAAGUAUUCUUCGGUGCAGCCAGCGCUUCCACAGCGCGGCAGCCCAAACCUUACACACUGUGAUUAGUUUUUUUACUAUUUACUUUGGCUGCGCAAGUGGCCAAAGGUCUUAAACACAAAGAUUUAUAUCUUUUUUUACAAAAUUUAGUCAAUGAAGUUUUAAUACUAUAAUCUUCAAAACUUUCAACAACGGAUCUCUUGGUUCUCGCAACGAUGAAGAACGCAGCGAAAUGCGAUACGUAAUGUGAAUUGCAGGUUUUCGUGAAUCAUCGAAUCUUUGAACGCACAUUGCACCCUCUGGUAUUCCGGAGGGUAUGCCUGUUUGAGCGUCAUUUCUCUCUCAAACCUUAGGGUUUGGUAUUGAGUGAUACUCUCUUCUGGGUUAACUUGAAAUAGUGUACUGGCAAGAGUGUGCUUUUGUGGCCUCUUGACUGAGAUAAUGUAUUAGGUUCUACCAACUCGUUAUAGCAGUUCAACUGUCCCUUUGGCAUAUCAGCUCGGCCUGACAACUCCUUCUAAAGUUGACCUCAAUCAGGUAGACAUUAGGUUCUACCAACUCGUUAUAGCAGUUCAACUGUCCCUUUGGCAUAUCAGCUCGGCCUGACAACUCCUUCUAAAGUUUGACCUCAAAUCAGGUAGGACUACCCGCUGAACUUAAGCAUAUCAAUAAGCGGAGGAAAAGAAACCAACAGGGAUUGCCUCAGUAACGGCGAGUGAAGCGGCAAAAGCUCAAAUUUGAAAUCCGGUACCUUUGGUGCCCGAGUUGUAAUUUGAAGAUAGUUUUCUGGUGCUGGCCCUUGUCUAUGUUCCUUGGAACAGGACGUCACAGAGGGUGAGAAUCCCGUCUGGCGGGGUGUCCAGUGCUUUGUAGAUUUCUAUCGACGAGUCGAGUUGUUUGGGAAUGCAGCUCUAAGUGGGUGGUAAAUUCCAUCUAAAGCUAAAUAUUGGCGAGAGACCGAUAGCGAACAAGUACAGUGAUGGAAAGAUGAAAAGAACUUUGAAAAGAGAGUGAAAAAGUACGUGAAAUUGUUGAAAGGGAAGGGUAUUAGAUCAGACUUGGUGUUUUGUGAUUAUCUUCCCUUCUUGGGUUGUGCACUCGCAUUUCACUGGGCCAGCAUCGGUUCGGGUGGUAAGAUAAUGACAUUGGAACGUGGCACUGCCUUCGGGUGGUGUGUUAUAGCCCUUGUUGAUGUUGCCUACCUGGACCGAGGACUGCGGCUU
rnacentral:rRNA from 1 species